AACGAACGCUGGCGGCAUGCCUAACACAUGCAAGUCGAACGAGACCUUCGGGUCUAGUGGCGCACGGGUGCGUAACGCGUGGGAACCUGCCCUUAGGUUCGGAAUAACUCCCCGAAAGGGGUGCUAAUACCGGAUAAUGUCUUCGGACCAAAGAUUUAUCGCCUUUGGAUGGGCCCGCGUUGGAUUAGCUAGUUGGUAGGGUAAAAGCCUACCAAGGCGACGAUCCAUAGCUGGUCUGAGAGGAUGAUCAGCCACACUGGGACUGAGACACCGCCCAGACUCCUACGGGAGGCAGCAGUGGGGAAUAUUGGACAAUGGGCGAAAGCCUGAUCCAGCAAUGCCGCGUGAGUGAUGAAGGCCUUAGGGUUGUAAAGCUCUUUUACCCGGGAUGAUAAUGACAGUACCGGGAGAAUAAGCUCCGGCUAACUCCGUG
rnacentral:rRNA from 1 species